CGUAGUGUGACAUAGUCUCAUUCCUCCUUCAUGCCUUCGGGCAGAUUGGAGGAGAGAGGCUUUCGAUGAAGCGGGCGCGUGAGCGAUCCCGUGGAGAGAUCACUAGUGAGAAUGAUGACAUGAGUAGCGACAAAGAGUGUGAGAGACACUCUCGCCGAAAGUCCAAGGGUUCCUGCUUAAAGCUAAUCUGAGCAGGGUAAGCCGGCCCCUAAGCCGAGGGCGAAAGCCGUAGGCGAUGGGAACUAGGUUAAUAUUCCUAGGCCAGGAGGAUGUGACGGAUCACAGGUGUAGUUCAAUCUUAUCGGAUUGAUUGGGCUGCUGAGUGGUUCCUGGAAAUAGCCCUCCAUCAGACCGUACCCUAAACCGACACAGGUGGACUGGUAGAGUAUACCAAGGCGCUUGAGAGAACUGUGCUGAAGGAACUCGGCAAAAUGCCCCCGUAACUUCGGGAGAAGGGGGCCUCCUGCUUGGGCAACCAGGUGGGAGGGGCACAGACCAGGGGGUGGCGACUGUUUACUAAAAACACAGGGCUCUGCGAAGUCGCAAGACGACGUAUAGGGUCUGACGCCUGCCCGGUGCCGGAAGGUUAAGAGGAGGGGUGCAAGCUCUGAAUUGAAGCCCCGGUAAACGGCGGCCGUAACUAUAACGGUCCUAAGGUAGCGAAAUUCCUUGUCGGGUAAGUUCCGACCUGCACGAAUGGCGUAACGACUUCCCCGCUGUCUCCAACAUCGACUCAGCGAAAUUGAAUUGCCUGUCAAGAUGCAGGCUUCCCGCGGUUAGACGGAAAGACCCCGUGCACCUUUACUACAGCUUCGCACUGGCAUCAGGAUUGUGAUGUGCAGGAUAGGUGGUAGGCUUUGAAGCGGAAACGCAAGUAUCCGUGGAGCCUCCCUUGAGAUACCACCCUUCGCACUCUUGAUGUCUAACCGCGGUCCGUUAUCCGGAUCCGGGACCCUGCGUGGCGGGUAGUUUGACUGGGGCGGUCGCCUCCUAAAGCGUAACGGAGGCGCGCGAAGGUUGGCUCAGAGCGGUCGGAAAUCGCUCGUUGAGUGCAAUGGCAGAAGCCAGCCUGAC
rnacentral:rRNA from 1 species